rnacentral:rRNA from 1 species
UACGUAGGGUGCGAGCGUUAAUCGGAAUUACUGGGCGUAAAGCGUGCGUAGGCGGUUUCAUAAGCUUGAUGUGAAAGCCCCGGGCUCAACCUGGGAAUGGCAUUGAGGACUGUGGAGCUAGAGUGCGGCAGAGGGAGGUGGAAUUCCACGUGUAGCAGUGAAAUGCGUAGAGAUGUGGAGGAACACCGAUGGCGAAGGCAGCCUCCUGGGCCGACACUGGCGCUGAGGGCACGAAAGCGUGGGGAGCAAACAGG